AUGUUCAACAUCAAUUCCAUUAACAGCUCCAGGUUCAAUGGUGUGUUAUCAUACUCUACCAAGAAAACUACGAGCAGAAAGGAUAGGAAAGGCUGCAAAAAGGAAAAAAUCGAUUCAAUCCUGAAGGAUAAAAUGGUUUCAGCAUGUCGACCGCCAAUCCAGGUCAGCGACAAGAAGCAAGUAAAACACAUCUACCCACGCCUCAACCACGGUCUGAAAACCAACCGCAAACCAGACCCCGAGCCGCUGGACCCCUACUCGUUCACCGAAGACGCCCAGCAGACGAAACGCUACGCCAAGUUCCACGAUGAAGUCAACGGACAGUCGAGCAGCCUCGGUCAUAUCAUCAGCCGACAGCUCAAAAGUGGGUCGACUUACCGAACCAGCGACGAUAGCAGUUUCGCUCGGCGGUUGAACGAGUGCGUGAAACCACAGCCGAUAUUGAAGGCGGUCAAACCAGAUUCCUCGGCGAAUAGAUCUAAUUUAGCGUUUAGUUUCCCGCAGAAGUGCAAAGUUCCAGAAGACUGUAAGUAUGGUUCGCAGACCACUGUUCCUACUGCUGAGAACAUUCUGCCGGAUUUCGGGAAAAGUAUCGGCAAGGUCGCUCUUCGGCCCAAGAGGAAGCUGAGCGGCUGGAGGAAGGACAACGGUACGAAGCACGAGGCUCUCCAGAGAAUACAGGGUCUCUUGAAACGGGAAUCCCAACUGCAAUCUGACUUAUUUCCAUUAGGUAUGUUGCCUCUCUGUUCGAUAUAUAUAUAUAAAGUCGCUUUACAACGCACUCUGGCGUUCUACGACACCCAAACGCCACAUAUGCCUGUCUUCCCAGAGGUUAUCGGGCAACUGACACCGCAACAUCUCUUUGUCAAUGCCCUGCCGCCAACCCUUUACGGGACGUCCCUUCGUCCCCUGUUCGAUAUCCUUCUUGCUUAUAUCCAUGCAGUGUUUCUUUCUUGGUUACUGACAUACAUGAAAAAUUUCAGAAAAUUAUUCCUGAUGUAUGAUUUUGCUCAUAUUGUCAGGGUUGGCACGGUCAGGGAAUUCAGGGAAAACCUGGAAAAGUCAGGGGAAAAAAAAGUGCUCUGGAAAACCUGGAAAAGUCAGGGAAU
rnacentral:lncRNA from 1 species